AUGCAGUCGAGCGGACAGAUGGGAGCUUGCUCCCUGAUGUUAGCGGCGGACGGGUGAGUAACACGUGGGUAACCUGCCUGUAAGACUGGGAUAACUCCGGGAAACCGGGGCUAAUACCGGAUGGUUGUUUGAACCGCAUGGUUCAAACAUAAAAGGUGGCUUCGGCUACCACUUACAGAUGGACCCGCGGCGCAUUAGCUAGUUGGUGAGGUAAUGGCUCACCAAGGCAACGAUGCGUAGCCGACCUGAGAGGGUGAUCGGCCACACUGGGACUGAGACACGGCCCAGACUCCUACGGGAGGCAGCAGUAGGGAAUCUUCCGCAAUGGACGAAAGUCUGACGGAGCAACGCCGCGUGAGUGAUGAAGGUUUUCGGAUCGUAAAGCUCUGUUGUUAGGGAAGAACAAGUGCCGUUCGAAUAGGGCGGCACCUUGACGGUACCUAACCAGAAAGCCACGGCUAACUACGUGCCAGCAGCCGCGGUAAUACGUAGGUGGCAAGCGUUGUCCGGAAUUAUUGGGCGUAAAGGGCUCGCAGGCGGUUUCUUAAGUCUGAUGUGAAAGCCCCCGGCUCAACCGGGGAGGGUCAUUGGAAACUGGGGAACUUGAGUGCAGAAGAGGAGAGUGGAAUUCCACGUGUAGCGGUGAAAUGCGUAGAGAUGUGGAGGAACACCAGUGGCGAAGGCGACUCUCUGGUCUGUAACUGACGCUGAGGAGCGAAAGCGUGGGGAGCGAACAGGAUUAGAUACCCUGGUAGUCCACGCCGUAAACGAUGAGUGCUAAGUGUUAGGGGGUUUCCGCCCCUUAGUGCUGCAGCUAACGCAUUAAGCACUCCGCCUGGGGAGUACGGUCGCAAGACUGAAACUCAAAGGAAUUGACAGGGGCCCGCACAAGCGGUGG
rnacentral:rRNA from 1 species